rnacentral:rRNA from 1 species
CCAUGACCUCAGAUCAGACGUGGAAACCCGCUGAAUUUAAGCAUAUUCCUAAGCAUAGGAAAAGAAACAAAACUGUAUUCCCUCAGUAACAUCGAGCGAAAGGGAAGAGCCCAGCACUGAAUCCUCGUCCAAUUGGAGCCACAGAAAUGUGCAUACAGAGGACUGUAUCCCGGGCAUCGCUCAGGGGGCCCAAGUCCUUCUGAUUGAAGAUCACCCUCAAACACUGGGAUCGUGUCUUGUUGGACUGCUCUUGUUGGGAAUGUUGCCCAAAGCAGGUGGUAAACUCCAACUAAGGCUAAAUACUGCAGCGAAUUCGAUAGCCAAAAAGUGCCACAAUUCAAAGUUGAAAAGAACUUUGAAGAGUGAGUUCAAGAUGGUGUGAAACUGUUGAAAGGUAAACAAGCAGGGUCCUUGCAGUCUGCCUGGACAAUUCAACAUGGCAGGCAGGUUGGUUGCCCAGAGCAGCGAGUCCCUUCGGAGGACAUCUGCCCGGGGGAACCCAACCCCUUCAGAGCACAUUUCCUCUGUGUCAGUGCACUGGAGCAGCCCCUGGGUCGGCACAGAAGGCCCACUGGUGCAGGAGGUUCUCUGCUCUGGCAGAGAAUGUUACAGACAUGUUAUGGGUCUGAGGAAGAUGGACUGCCGCUGUUCCCUCCUCUGAGAACUGUCCCAGCCAUUCUCUGAGGAUGCAGGGGCAGCGACAGGGGAUGAGGCCCCCUGCUCCCUGUGAGACUGUCGACCGGGGUGGACUGUCCUCAGUCGUCCCCCCCGACCGCAUCGCACUGCUAUGUGGAAAGGCCCACAAAGGGAGCAAAGGUACUGUGGAGAUGUCAGUUACCCAGCUGAAUCAUCUUGAAACACGGACCAAGGAGUUUAACACCUGCACAAGUCGGACGGGCCGAACAAAACCCUGUGGCGCAAUGUAGGUGAAGGCCAGCGCGGGCUGGCUGAGGUGGGAUCCUUUUUGCACCAUCUCGGCGGUGCAGCACAAGCCUCUCUUGUGCUCUCUUUGGGGAGUUGGCGCAUGAGCGUGGUUUAUAGGGCCCGAAAGAUGGUGAACUAUACCUGGGCACGGCAAAGCCAAACAACAUUUUUGUGGAAGUCGGAUCAGUCCUGACGUGCAAAAUCAGUAGUCCGACCUGAGUAUAGGGGUGAAAGACUAAUCAAACCAUCUAGUAGCUCAUUCCCUCUGAAGUUUCCCCCAUGAUAGCUGGCACUCGAACCCCCAGUUUUAUUUGGUAAAGUGAAUGAUUGGAGGUCUUGUGGCCGAAACUAACUCAACCUAUUCUCAAAUUUUAAAUGGGUAAGAAGCCCGGGUCACUGGUUUAAAGCUGCCCAUCUAAUGCCAAUUUUCCUUAUAAGAACUGGUGGUUCAGGAUGAACCGAAUGCCGGGUUAAGGCGCCCGAUGCUGACGCUUAUCAGAACCCACAAAAGGUAUUGGUUGAUAUAGAUAGCAAGACAGUGGCCAUAGAAGUCGGAAUCUUCAGUGUAACAACUCACCUGACGAAUCAACUAGCCCUGAAAAUGGAUGGUGCCAGAGAAUCAGGCCCAAACCCGGCCGUCACUGGCACUGAGAGUCGCGGGGGCUAAGACAUGAUGAGUAGAAGGGUCGCUGCGGUGUGCACAGAAACCCUGUGCAAGGGUAUGGAUGGAGCCACCACAUGUACAGAUCUUGGUGGUAGUAGGAAAUAUUCAAAUGAGAACUUUGAAUGUUGAAGUGGAGAAAGGUUCCAUGUGAACAGCAGUUGAACAUUGGUCAGAUGGUCCUAAAAUAUGGACGAGCACUGUUCGGAAGGGAUGGGCAAUGGCCUGUGCUGUGCUCAUUCAAUCGAAAGGGUGUCUGGUUCAUGUCCCCGAACCCAGAGUGGAGAAGAUGGGCACCCUUGUGUCAUCCAGUGCGGUAAUGCAAAUGAUCCUGGAAAUCUGGGAAGGAGCACCAGGGAGGGUUCUCUUUUCUUUGUGAAGGGCAGCGUACCCUAAAAUUGGUUCAUCCCAAGAAAGGGUCCUGAGCCGUGAAGGAAUCCAGUGAGCUCUCGCUGGCCCUUGAAAAUCCGUAGAGAUGGUAUACAUCUCAUACCGGGCUUACACAUUUCUGCAGGAGAUCUGCAAUGUGAACAGCCUCUGGCAUGUUGGAACAAUGUACGUAAGUGAAGCAGGCAAGUCAGAUCUGUAACUUUGGGAUAAGGAUUGGCUCUAAGUGCUGGCACAGUCAGUUUGCCGUGCGGAGCGAGGCUGUGUGCACGCCCAUCUGCAGAGGUCGCCUCUCUCCAUUACCUUCCCAGGUUUCAGGAUCGCCGUUCCGCCUCGGCCAACACCUACCAGCUGACUUAGAACUGGUGGGACCAGGGAAAAUCAACAGUUUAAGUAAAUCAAAGCUACUAUCUAGCGAAACCACAGCCAAGAGACUAGGCUUGCAGACUCAGCAGAGAGAGAAGACCCAGUCAAGCUUGACUCUAGUCUGUCUCUCUGAAGAGACAUGAAAGGUGUAGGAUAAGUCAGAGGUCCUUGGGGAACCCAUGAAAUACCACUAUUCUUAUCAUGUUUUCACUUACCUGGUAAGGCAGGGGGAAGCCCCAUGCAGCUCUUGCUUCUGGUUCCAAGCACCCGGCACCCACUGAUGUGCGGCCCGGUCUGGGGAAAGUGGCAGGUGGGGAGUGUUAAUAGGGUGGUACACCUGUAGAAUGGUAAUGCAUGUGUACUAAGGUGAACUCAGGGAGUAUACAAACCUCCUAUGUAGAAGAUAGCCAAAAAUCGCUUUAUCUUGAUUUUCAGUAUGAAUACAGACUGUGAAAUAAGUUCCUCAUGAUCCUUCUGACUUUUUGGCAUUCAAUCAGGAGUUGUCAAGAAGUUGCCACAUGGAUAGCUGGCUUGUGGCAGCCAAGCAUUCAUAGCAACGCCACUUUUUGAUCCUUCAAUGUCGGCUCUUCCUUACAUUGUGAAGCAGGAUUCACCAAUCAUUGGAUUGUUGGAUUGUUACCCAUCUAAUAAGGAAUGUGGGUCGGGUUUAGACUGUCGUGAGACAAGUUGGUUUACCAUACUGUUGAUUUGUUGUUGCAAUAGUAAUUCUACUCAGUGCGAGAGGGACUGCAGGUUCAGACAUCUGGUGUAUGUGCUUGGGUGAUGAGCCAAUGGGGUGAAGCUAUGAUCUGUGGAAUUGUGA